rnacentral:rRNA from 1 species
AAGUCGAGCGGUAACAUUUCUAGCUUGCUAGAAGAUGACGAGCGGCGGACGGGUGAGUAAUACUUAGGAAUCUACCUAGUAGUGGGGGAUAGCUCGGGGAAACUCGAAUUAAUACCGCAUACGACCUACGGGAGAAAGGGGGCAACUUGUUGCUCUCGCUAUUAGAUGAGCCUAAGUCGGAUUAGCUAGAUGGUGGGGUAAAGGCCUACCAUGGCGACGAUCUGUAGCUGGUCUGAGAGGAUGAUCAGCCACACCGGGACUGAGACACGGCCCGGACUCCUACGGGAGGCAGCAGUGGGGAAUAUUGGACAAUGGGGGAAACCCUGAUCCAGCCAUGCCGCGUGUGUGAAGAAGGCCUUUUGGUUGUAAAGCACUUUAAGCAGUGAAGAAGACUCUUCGGUUAAUACCCGGAGACGAUGACAUUAGCUGCAGAAUAAGCACCGGCUAACUCUGUGCCAGCAGCCGCGGUAAUACAGAGGGUGCAAGCGUUAAUCGGAAUUACUGGGCGUAAAGCGAGCGUAGGUGGCUUGAUAAGUCAGAUGUGAAAUCCCCGGGCUUAACCUGGGAACUGCAUCUGAUACUGUCAGGCUAGAGUAGGUGAGAGGAAGGUAGAAUUCCAGGUGUAGCGGUGAAAUGCGUAGAGAUCUGGAGGAAUACCGAUGGCGAAGGCAGCCUUCUGGCAUCAUACUGACACUGAGGCU